CCUCCGUUCUUCCGCCGUUCUUACUAUUUCUCCCUUUCCUCUCUUCUUACCCAGCCAAGUAGCGUGAAGGAUGACUGCCCUAUGGGUUGUAAACUUCUUUUAUAUGGGAAUAAAACGUUCCACGUGUGGGAUUUUGUAUGUACCAUAUGAAUAAGGAUCGGCUAACUCCGUUCCAGCAGCCGCGGUAAUACGGAGGAUCCGAGCGUUAUCCGGAUUUAUUGGGUUUAAAGGGAGCGUAGGUGGAUUGUUAAGUCAGUUGUGAAAGUUUGUGGCUCAACCGUAAAAUUGCAGUUGAAACUGGCAGUCUAGAGUACAGUAGAGGUGGGCGGAAUUCGUGGUGUAGCGGUGAAAUGCUUAGAGAUCACGAAGAACUCCGAUGGCGAAGGCAGUUCACUGGACUGCAACUGACACUGAGGCGCGAAAGUGUGGGUAUCAAACAGGAUUAGAUACCCCUGUAGUC
rnacentral:rRNA from 1 species